GAUGUGGUGUGCAAAUACAACCGUAUCUGCAAUGGGUUGUUGGGCAUUAACAUUUGUAACUCUAAUUUUGUUUUGACAGACUGUGAAAAGAGCGUUGAGAACAUCACCACUCUACAGGAAGACACAGUCCAGUAAUGGGUGUCAGAAGUUCAGUAGUGAACGACAGGAAGGACUGAUGCAUGUACUGAGAUGGGACGUGAGGGCCUACUCUGCGUGCUCAGAGUUCAAGCCCAGCAGGCUGCAGCAGGCCUGACAUAUUCCGGAACAGCAGCACAGUCUUUGGAUGACUCCUCUGAAGAUGAAAACAUGGCGAGUUCUUCUCAAGAGAAGCAGUACAGGUGUGCCUCAGCUCCACGGUCCCUUCUGCAGCCUCCGCUCCUGAUGCUAACCUCAUGUCUCCAUCACACCAAGAAGCAGACCUGGAUUGACAGACCUUUCUCCAGAGCUGCCCCCUCCCUCUGAAACCCCCCUCUUCAAAACACUAUUUGUGGCGUUUUUAAAGUCUUAUUUGCAUGAGAAUUGUUGAUCAUAACAUUUCCAGCAGAUGCCUUAAUGUAAUGUUUUUGAACAAUA